UAGAAUUAAAAGUAAUGGACUAUAAUAAUAUUAUAGCCCAAUAAUUUAUUUAGAGUCCAAGAGAAGUGGAUUUAAUGGACUAAGGAUGUUAUAUUAUUUAAACAAGCCCAAUUAAGGAGGGACAUAUUGGACAUUUGGUAUACUAAAUAAGAAUUAAAAAAAAAAAUCAAUUAUUGAUACGGAAAUGUCCAUUUUACCCUUUUGUCCCAUUUUGGUGAAUUAUGGCUAGAGAAUCCUAUGUAAUCUUGCAAAAUCUAGCAAAUUAUUGAAGGGGGAAUAAUUAUAACCUAGCAUGUGACUUAUAGCUCAAUUAUCAAUCAUCUAGAAUUUACUAGAUUCCUUGAAUUAUAACUUAUAUAGAUUAAAAGUGAGAAAAGCCUCACUUUAAUUAUCAAACUUGUCCAAGACUUAGAGAGGGAGAAAGAGAGAAAGAGAGAAGGGAGGAAUGGCAUUAUGAGAGAGUGAGAAGAGAUACCAUUCGGCAGCUCCAAGAGGAGAAGGAGAAGAAAAGACUUUGAUCUUCAUACACCUCAAGAUCCAUCUCAUAUCUUUGAAGAAGAAAGAAAAUCAAGCAAAGGUAUAAACCCUUUUUGUUUAUGUAAUUUUUGAUGGUUGUAAAUCAAACCUUGAAUCCAUAGUUCUACACUCAAAAACCUUAGAUAUAUGUG
rnacentral:lncRNA from 1 species